rnacentral:rRNA from 1 species
CCUGCCCCUAAGUCUGGGAUACCAUUUGGAAACAGGUGCUAAUACCGGAUAAUAAAGCAGAUCGCAUGAUCAGCUUUUGAAAGGCGGCGUAAGCUGUCGCUAAGGGAUGGCCCCGCGGUGCAUUAGCUAGUUGGUAAGGUAACGGCUUACCAAGGCGACGAUGCAUAGCCGAGUUGAGAGACUGAUCGGCCACAUUGGGACUGAGACACGGCCCAAACUCCUACGGGAGGCAGCAGUAGGGAAUCUUCCACAAUGGACGCAAGUCUGAUGGAGCAACGCCGCGUGAGUGAAGAAGGUUUUCGGAUCGUAAAGCUCUGUUGUUGGUGAAGAAGGAUAGAGGUAGUAACUGGCCUUUAUUUGACGGUAAUCAACCAGAAAGUCACGGCUAACUACGUGCCAGCAGCCGCGGUAAUACGUAGGUGGCAAGCGUUGUCCGGAUUUAUUGGGCGUAAAGCGAGCGCAGGCGGAAAAAUAAGUCUAAUGUGAAAGCCCUCGGCUUAACCGAGGAAUUGCAUCGGAAACUGUUUUUCUUGAGUGCAGAAGAGGAAAGUGGAACUCCAUGUGUAGCGGUGGAAUGCGUAGAUAUAUGGAAGAACACCAGUGGCGAAGGCGGCUCUCUG